rnacentral:snoRNA from 1 species
CACAGUACUGACAAACUGUCUGGCUUGAUCCCCACGCCUGAACAGUUUCUUUUUAAACGCUGUGAGACGAAUGAUAGCGUCGGCUAAGCUAUGUUAUGCGAAUGUAAAUCAAACACUAUUCAGUGUAACACGCAGCCUCGUUACACU